UGGAAUCGAACCUGGGACCCUUCAGUCCGCAGUCCGACGCUCUAUCCACUGAGCCAAACCAGCCAGGGCCUGGAGCCUUUUAAAAAUUAAUCCCUUCACAAAGUGCACUCCCUCCUCCAUCCUCACGUACCGAAGGAGCUUCGAUAGGACCGCCCUUGACUCGCCACAGCCAAACCUACAGCUGCUCCACCCUCCUUGACAGGAAAGACUAGGAACUCCCCGAGGGCAGGGACCCACUGCCAGCAUGCUGCCUGGAAUACAAAGCCCAUCCACCCCCUCAGAUUCCAGCCAAAGGUGAGGUAACCCCGCCCCAGGCUUUGCACCUUUUCCAAAAACCCUUCCUGGACGUCUCCAGACCCUGUGGACUCCUCGCUACCACCGGGUGGAGGGCUCCACCCCAGGUCAGGACUCCGCCUGCCUCCACCCAGGUCUACUACCAGGAUGGAAUCUGAGUAAAGGGGUUUGUUUGGGCUGUGGGUAACAAAGAUUAAAA